rnacentral:rRNA from 1 species
AUUGAACGCUGGCGGCAGGCUUAACACAUGCAAGUCGAGCGGGGUGAUGGUGCUUGCACUAUCACUUAGCGGCGGACGGGUGAGUAAUGCUUAGGAAUCUGCCUAUUAGUGGGGGACAACAUCUCGAAAGGGAUGCUAACACCGCAUACGUCCUACGGGAGAAAGCAGGGGAUCACUUGUGACCUUGCGCUAAUAGAUGAGCCUAAGUCGGAUUAGCUAGUUGGUGGGGUAAAGGCCUACCAAGGCGACGAUCUGUAGCGGGUCUGAGAGGAUGAUCUGCCACACUGGGACUGAGACACGGCCCAGACUCCUACGGGAGGCAGCAGUGGGGAAUAUUGGACAAUGGGGGGAACCCUGAUCCAGCCAUGCCGCGUGUGUGAAGAAGGCCUUAUGGUUGUAAAGCACUUUAAGCGAGGAGGAGGCUCUUUUGGUUAAUACCCAAGAUGAGUGGACGUUACUCGCAGAAUAAGCACCGGCUAACUUCGUGCCAGCCGCCGCCGUAA